AUAAUUCAACAAAGGCACCUGAAAACAGAGUUGAAUUUAAUAUAUAGGGACUCUGUUUCUGCCACUCCCAUUUAUCUAUCUCUCUUUCUGUGCUUAUAGAAAACUUUACAUUACAAACAACGAUCUUACACCAAGUAUAGCUAAACAUCCAAAUCUCAUUUCCUUCAAUUUCAAAUCCCACUUUCAUUUCUCCAUUAUUCUUAUUUCUCUCUCUAACCCACUUUCUCUCUCUCCUCUCCUCCAAAAAAGAUGUUGUGAAUCUGAUGAAUUUGAGUUUAAGCUGUUUUUGCAUGAAUGGGUUGCAUGCUCUCUCAUUUGGCUUCCAAAUUCGCCUUCUUUCCGCCGUCGCCGUCGACUUAUCAGAUCACAAAGAGAGACGGCGACGGUCGGCUUACGGUGGUUUCGACGGCGGCGGGAGCGGUGGGGUCGGUGGUGGAGGACCGUUUGUUGGAUGUUUUGAUGAUUGAUACGAAAUGUGGGAAUAAGAUAGUGGGAUUUUAUUUGAGAAAUCCUUGUGCGAGACUUACUCUGCUUUACUCCCAUGGCAAUGCUGCAGACCUUGGCCAACUCUAUGACCUUUUUCUUCAGCUUAAACGUAAUCUCAGAGUUAAUCUUAUGGGAUAUGACUAUUCUGGCUAUGGAGCUUCAACUGGUAAGCCGAGCGAAUCGAAUACAUAUGCUGACAUCGAAGCGGUUUACGAGUGUCUUGAAACUGAGUAUGGAGUCAGCCAGGAAGACUUGAUCUUGUACGGGCAAUCGGUUGGAAGUGGACCAACGUUGCAUUUGGCUUCUAAACUGCCACGGUUGAGGGGCGUUGUGCUGCAUAGUGCAAUCCUUUCGGGUCUACGAGUUCUAUGCCAUGUGAAGUUCACCUUUUGCUUUGACAUUUAUAAGAAUAUUAACAAAAUCAAGAAGGCGAAGUGUCCUGUGCUUGUGAUACAUGGCACGGACGAUGAUGUUGUCGACUGGCUCCAUGGAAAUGGUUUAUGGAAAAUGUCACGAGAACCGUACGAUCCUCUAUGGAUAAAAGGAGGAGGACACUGCAACUUAGAGCUUUAUCCAAACUACAUCCGCCAUCUUUGCAAAUUCAUCCAAGAUAUGGAGAACAUUACCACGAAAGUUCGCCUAAAAAAGAUUCGACAAACCCGUGAUCUACCAAAAAGAUCGUGUUGCUGUGCAGUCUCUUGUGAUGGAUGCUGCUGUAAAGUGAAAUGCUCACGACCACCAAAAUGUUCGAGGCCAAGCUGUGCAGGUUGCUGCUCGAUACGGUUGAAAUGCCCUGAAUCCUGUAAACCCAGAUGCCCAAAAUGCCCAACGCCGAUGUGCUGCUUCAGCUUCUCCUCCAUCACCAGUUGUUUGGUUCAAUGGAGAUUCGGUAACUGUUGUAGCAGCUGUUUCCAAUGGAGAUGCUGUUGUGAAAGAGGGUCCUCCAAUGGGUAGGAGGGGAAGGAUUUUUCAUGAUGGUUUGUAUAGAAGAAUGCUGUACUUGUAGAACAAGAGAGGAAGAAGAUCUCACUGUUAUACAGAUGAAUAUGAAUCUACUCCGCCUACCAUUUGAUGGAUGCAAGCAAUGUCGUUUGCUUACUCUUCGUUGGCGGCAAGGAAGCAUUGAAAAUCAACCUAGACCAUAAGUCGAGGCAUUCGGAAAAUGACUAAGCACUUCUGGCCAAGCUUCUAUC